UACGUAGGGGGCAAGCGUUGUCCGGAAUCAUUGGGCGUAAAGCGCGUGUAGGCGGCCCGGUAAGUCCGCUGUGAAAGUCGGGGGCUCAACCCUCGAAUGCCGGUGGAUACUGUCGGGCUAGAGUGCGGAAGAGGCGAGUGGAAUUCCUGGUGUAGCGGUGAAAUGCGCAGAUAUCAGGAGGAACACCAGUGGCGAAGGCGGUGCUCUGGGCCGGAACUGACGCUGAGGAGCGAAAGCGUGGGGAGCAAACAGG
rnacentral:rRNA from 1 species